AGAGUUUGAUCCUGGCUCAGGAUGAACGCUAGCGGCAGGCUUAAUACAUGCAAGUCGAGGGGUAACAGAGGUAGCAAUACCUGCUGACGACCGGCAAACGGGUGCGGAACACGUACGCAACCUUCCCAUAACAGGUGAAUAGCCUUUCGAAAGAGAGAUUAAUACACCGUAAUAUAAUGAAGUGGCAUCACUUUAUUAUUAUAGGCUUCGGCCGGUUUUGGAUGGGCGUGCGGCUGAUUAGGUAGUUGGCGGGGUAACGGCCCACCAAGCCUACGAUCAGUAACUGGUGUGAGAGCACGACCAGUCACACGGGCACUGAGACACGGGCCCGACUCCUACGGGAGGCAGCAGUAAGGAAUAUUGGUCAAUGGACGAAAGUCUGAACCAGCCAUGCCGCGUGAAGGAUGAAGGCCCUCUGGGUUGUAAACUUCUUUUAUCUGGGACGAAAAAAGGGUAUUCUUACUCACUUGACGGUACCAGAGGAAUAAGCACCGGCUAACUCCGUGCCAGCAGCCGCGGUAAUACGGAGGGUGCAAGCGUUAUCCGGAUUCACUGGGUUUAAAGGGUGCGUAGGUGGGUCUGUAAGUCAGCGGUGAAAUCUCCGAGCUUAACUCGGAAACUGCCAUUGAUACUAUAGGUCUUGAAUAUCCUGGAGGUGAGCGGAAUAUGUCAUGUAGCGGUGAAAUGCUUAGAUAUGACAUAGAACACCAAUUGCGAAGGCAGCUCACUACGGGAUUAUUAGACACUGAGGCACG
rnacentral:rRNA from 1 species